rnacentral:rRNA from 1 species
AGACCCGAAACCCGGUGAUCUAGCCAUGGGCAGGUUGAAGGUUGGGUAACACUAACUGGAGGACCGAACCGACUAAUGUUGAAAAAUUAGCGGAUGACCUGUGGCUGGGGGUGAAAGGCCAAUCAAACCGGGAGAUAGCUGGUUCUCCCCGAAAGCUAUUUAGGUAGCGCCUCGUGAAUUCAUCUCCGGGGGUAGAGCACUGUUUCGGCUAGGGGGCCAUCCCGGCUUACCAACCCGAUGCAAACUGCGAAUACCGGAGAAUGUUAUCACGGGAGACACACGGCGGGUGCUAACGUCCGUCGUGAAGAGGGAAACAACCCAGACCGCCAGCUAAGGUCCCAAAGUCAUGGUUAAGUGGGAAACGAUGUGGGAAGGCCCAGACAGCCAGGAUGUUGGCUUAGAAGCAGCCAUCAUUUAAAGAAAGCGUAAUAGCUCACUGGUCGAGUCGGCCUGCGCGGAAGAUGUAACGGGGCUAAACCAUGCACCGAAGCUGCGGCAGCGACGCUGAUGCGUUGUUGGGUAGGGGAGCGUUCUGUAAGCCUGCGAAGGUGUGUCGUGAGGCAUGCUGGAGGUAUCAGAAGUGCGAAUGCUGACAUAAGUAACGAUAAAGCGGGUGAAAAGCCCGCUCGCCGGAAGACCAAGGGUUCCUGUCCAACGUUAAUCGGGGCAGGGUGAGUCGACCCCUAAGGCGAGGCCGAAAGGCGUAGUCGAUGGGAAACGGGUUAAUAUUCCCGUACUUGGUGUUACUGCGAAGGGGGGACGGAGAAGGCUAUGUUGGCCGGGCGACGGUUGUCCCGGUUUAAGCGUGUAGGUGUGUGUUCCAGGUAAAUCCGGUUCACUUUAACACUGAGGCGUGAUGACGAGGCACU